rnacentral:rRNA from 1 species
AAUCAACGCUGGCGGCGUGCCUAACACAUGCAAGUCGAACGAGAAAGUGGAGCAAUCCAUGAGUAAAGUGGCGACCGGGUGAGUAACACGUGACUAACCUACCUUCGAGUGGGGGAUAACCUCGGGAAACCGGGGCUAAUACCGCAUAACAUCUUUGGAGUGGAAAUUUCGGAGAUCAAAGGAGCAAUUCGCUGGAAGAGGGGGUCGCGGCUGAUUAGCUAGUUGGCGGGGUAACGGCCCACCAAGGCUAGAUCGGUAGCCGGCCUGAGAGGGCGCACGGCCACACUGGAACUGAAACACGGUCCAGACUCCUACGGGAGGCAGCAGUGGGGAAUUUUGCGCAAUGGGGGAAACCCUGACGCAGCAACGCCGCGUGGAGGAUGAAGUCCCUUGGGACGUAAACUCCUUUCGACCCGGACGAUAAUGACGGUACGGGUGGAAGAAGCCCCGGCUAACUUCGUGCCAGCCGCCGCCGUAAC